CGGAUUGUAGGCUGAAACUACGCCUACAUGAAGCUGGAGUUACUAGUAAUCGCAGAUCAGAAUGCUGCGGUGAAUGCGUUCCCGGGUCUUGUACACACCGCCCGUCACACCACGGAAGUUGGGGCGCCCGAAGCCACUUAGCUAACCCUUUUGGGAAGCGAGUGUCGAAGGUGAAAUCAAUAACUGGGGUGAAGUCGUAACAAGGUAAC
rnacentral:rRNA from 1 species